UCGCUUUUGAAACUACUUUAUAUAUUCUGCAUUUUUUUCACAGUUUUAUUUGUCUUAGCCUUUAUUUCUCAGCCAGCCCAUUCCACUCAGGGUAACUUCAUUCCCAGUACCAACAUAGAACGUGGGCAGGAACUGGCACCUGAACGGGGACCCGUAUCACGUGGAAUUAAAACCUAACUGGCUAAAGAUCCAUAUGGAUGCCAUGCAUGGAGUUGUGGACCCAUAAAGAAGAAUCUCUAUGAAGAACUUGGCACCCCAGAAAAUUCAGCAGUUAAUUGUGUUCCCCCUGGGGCUGGGGAUGUGUCUCAAGCGGUAGCACGCUGGCCUGGCAUGCGUUCAGCCCGGGUUCGAUCCUCAGCACCACAUACAAACAAAGAUGUUGUAUCCGCCAAAAACUAAAAAAUAAAUAUUA
rnacentral:lncRNA from 1 species